GCACGUUCGAGAGCGGGUUAGUUCAUUUAGCUGAACGGAUUCUGAGCACGCCCUCGCUGCUGAAAAUGCUGUCUACUAAGGCGGCUCGAAGCCUAAUCAGAGUGACGGAUAGCUGCUUCUGCCCUAACGUCACCCAGUCUGACGCUGAGCGUUCUUGUUGUUGCUUCUCUGUGGUCAAGAGGGCAGAGGUGGCCGGGCAGAGGGAGAUCUGCGGUCAGACCGUAGGAUUGAUGAGUGAGUUUCUAGGGGGAACUGUGAGGAAGUCCAUCUCCAGCCCACCCGUGGGCCACAGCAGCCCCACAUCAAACGGACCAGCUCCACUGUGAUGUAUGGCGGCUGCGCUGCACUUUCAACCAGAGUCGAGAAGGUCCAUCAAGGGAUUUAUCUCAAGGGAGGAUGAAAGGAGAAGCAGAGGCGUCUGCCAAACAAAGGCUCAUGGGGGCCAACAGUACAGGUCAGGCCUGGCCCUCAAACUGGAGAGAUUUAUAUUAGUCCACUUUAGCUGAAGACACAUUCUGGGCAGAGAUGGGUUGAGUGGAUACUAAAUAUUGGAAAAAUAUUGAUAAUAUUAAAAUCUGUGUACAAAAUACUUUUUCCCAGACUGUUCAAUAAUAAAAUGGUCAUUGAUGUGACCAAUGCAAAUGCAAUUCAUUUAUACGAUGACUUUUACUCUAUAAAGCCUACUGUAUCAUAAAAAAUGUCUAAGUCCUCUUAGAAAAAAAUUAAUUGCUGGAGAAAUAUCUCUUACAUAAUACAUUACAUGCUUUCUGAUUGGUGCUUCAUACUUUUUUAGCAAGUAAACAUCCUUUUAAUAUAAUUCUAAAACAUCCCUCUUCAUAUUGUGGUACGCAUGCCUGUUUGCUGUGAAAUCUUUACUGAUUUUUAUGCAUAUGCAUACUUGUUUAUAUUAUUAAUACUUUCAUUUUAUGUUUUUACCAUUUACUUGAUUAUCCAUAUAUAAUUUUUUAAAGAAAAAUCAUGUUUAAUAAGUCAGUAUCAAAUAUGAUACUUGAGGAUUUUGAGGAAAGUUCAUUUGUUCUCAAAUAUCUCUCAGUCAUCACUGUAUUUCAUUGCAUUAUGUUUUGCCCCCACAAUAGAAACUACAGAGCUUUGAUCGUAAAAAGCAUUUAAAUAUCAUCUUAUUUAUUAUGACUGACCACUGAUAUUUAUAUGCUUUGGCCAUAUAAAUAUCAUGCAACUGCACCAAAUUGUACAUUUUUGCUCAGUUUGGUUUUAUUAAUAAAAUUAAGGUGUUUAUUUUC